AACCUCCGCAAUGCACGCAAGUGUGACGGGGGGACUCCAAGUGUUUCUGUUUUUAAAACAGUUUCUUUUCUGAAGUGUAAAUAGCUUCAGGAAUAAGAGCUGGGAAAGACAGGUGCCAGCCGCCGCGGUAAUACCUGCAGCUCGAGUGGUCUGGAUUUUUAUUGGGUCUAAAGCGUUCGUAGCAGGGCGCAUAAGUUUUCUGUGAAAUCUGAUAGCUUAACUAUCAGGCGUGCAGAGGAUACUAUGUGCCUUGGGACUGGGAUGGGUCGAGGGUACUCCAGGGGUAAGGGUGAAAUCUAAUAAUCCUUGGGGGACCACCUGUGGCGAAGGCGCUCGGCUAGAACAGAUCCGACUGUGAGGGACGAAAGCUAGGGGAGCGAACGGG
rnacentral:rRNA from 1 species